GCCCGUACCGGGCGCAGCCUGAUGCAGCACGCCGCGUGAGGGAUGACGGCCUUCGGGUUGUAAACCUCUUUCAGUAGGGAAGAAGCGGAAGUGACGGUACCUGCAGAAAAAGCACCGGUUAACUACGUGCCCCCCGCCGCUAUAAUAUG
rnacentral:rRNA from 1 species